AAAGGCUGUGAUUAAAAGGGAAUCGGGUGCAAAUCCCGAACAGUCCCGCUGCUGUGAGUUUCACAAGGAACGUUGCAAGCAAAUUACCCAUGCCACUGGAGCCUGUUUCCGGGAAGGUCGUUUGCAACAGAAACGAGUCAGAAGACCUGCCAUGCAAUUU
rnacentral:ncRNA from 1 species